AAAAAGGGUCAGUUUGCUAAUUAUGCCACGCUCAUCAUUUUGAUGAAUGUUGUAUGGCUAUCAAGACAUACCGCUGACAUGAUCUUUGUGAAACAAUAGGAUUGGUUUGUUAAGCUGACCCUUUCA
rfam:Medicago truncatula strain A17 chromosome 2, whole genome shotgun sequence.